CCUCUUCCUGUUUGCGGGCUGCCAAACAGUAAUUCAGAGGUUGUUUCUCAAGCACCAGAUAUCACCUCCCCCAGGAAGACCGCCUUUUACCUCUCCAGGACAAGACCAAUACGUCGUCACCAAUGAGUUUAGCGCUCCGUGUCCCUGGCCACUGAGUCAAAGAUGGAUGUGAAGAGGCAUUACAGCAAGCAUGAACUCUCAUUCUACCAUUCCACACUUGUCAGCACAGACGGGAGACUCCAGAGGUUAUGUGAAAACACAGAUUGUUUCUUCCCAGAAAGGAAGGGCAGUGCAAUUUCACAUGGAAAGGCAGCCACCAAAUGCCAUUGCGAUGGACCACGAAGACCUCUUCACUGGACUUCACGCUCCUACAUUGGCCACCCUGUGGACCAGCCUCAACGUAACAGCCACCAGGACAACCACCAUCCUACCUCUUUUACUCAGAGGAAAAGCCACAGGCUUUACGAGAGCCUCCAAGGUGCUGCGUGACCUGUCCAACACCAUCUCUCUAAUCUCCUCUCCUAGGACACUUUCGAUAAUCCUUGAACAUGACCAGAGCAGCACUGGCUGUCCCCUUUGCAUCCUUAAGCAGAUGACCUCUGCUUAAACACUACCUCUUCCUUAAUCCUUCCAUGCCCCGCUCAUCUGAAAUUCCAGCUCCCUUCUCCAUCCCCAACCCUGCUCCACGUUCUCCCCUCCAACAUUUUCAAAUUCUGCCACUUAUUUAAUGUUUUAAAUUCAUUGAU